GUAGUUAGCCGGGGCUUCCUCCUUGGCUACCGUCACUUUCUUCGUCACCAAGGACAGAGGUUUACAACCCGAAGGCCUUCUUCCCUCACGCGGCGUUGCUGGGUCAGGCUUUCGCCCAUUGCCCAAUAUUCCCCACUGCUGCCUCCCGUAGGAGUCUGGACCGUGUCUCAGUUCCAGUGUGGCCGAUCAGCCUCUCAGCUCGGCUACCCAUCGUCGACUUGGUGGGCCGUUACCCCGCCAACUAUCUAAUGGGACGCGAGCCCCUCCCUCUGCGGAUUGCUCCUUUGACCUCAUCCCGAUGCCGGGUCGUGGUCUUAUGCGGUAUUAGCAUCUGUUUCCAAAUGUUAUCCCCCUCAAAGGGUCAGGUUGCUCACGCGUUACUCACCCGUUCGCCACUAGGUGUAAAACCGAAAUCUUACACCCCGUUCGACUUGCAUGUGUUAGGCACGCCGCCAGCGUUCGUCCUGAGCCACGAGACGUACCUAACGUACCUAGACGUCGGGACGUCGGGCGAAGGGCGACGGACGACGAGAG
rnacentral:rRNA from 1 species